rnacentral:sRNA from 1 species
GGGAGGCCAAACUCCCCUGAGGCUAUAUUAGGCGCGAGCGCCCAUCCACCCCAGCGCCCAUAUGGCUUGACCCGCCCGGUUGUCCCCCCGGGCGGGUC